rnacentral:rRNA from 1 species
AGAACGAACGCUGGUGGCGUGCUAUACAUGCAAGUCGAGCGAGGCAGCAAUGCCGAGCGGCGAACGGGUGAGUAACGCGUAAGCAAUCUGCCCCAUAUCAGGAAAUACCCGUGCCAACGCGCGGUUAAUGUCCAGGAGAGUGGCCUUCUGCAUGGAGGGUUGACUAGAGAUUUAUCGGUAUGGGAUGAGCUUGCGUCCGAUUAGCUAGUUGGCGGGGCAACGGCCCACCAAGGCGACGAUCGGUAGCCGGCCUGAGAGGGUGAUCGGCCACAUUGGGACUGAGAUACGGCCCAGACUCCUACGGGAGGCAGCAGUAGGGAAUAUUGCACAAUGGGGGAAACCCUGAUGCAGCAACGCCACGUGUGGGAAGAAGCAUUUCGGUGUGUAAACCACUGUCAUGAGGGAAUAAGGCCCGCCUUCGGACGGGACCUGAAUGUACCUUGAGAGGAAGCACCGGCAAACUUCGUGCCAGCCGCAGC